rnacentral:rRNA from 1 species
CAGGCAAAUCCGGAAAAUCAAGGCUGAGGCGUGAUGACGAGGCACUACGGUGCUGAAGCAACAAAUGCCCUGCUUCCAGGAAAAGCCUCUAAGCAUCAGGUAACAUCAAAUCGUACCCCAAACCGACACAGGUGGUCAGGUAGAGAAUACCAAGGCGCUUGAGAGAACUCGGGUGAAGGAACUAGGCAAAAUGGUGCCGUAACUUCGGGAGAAGGCACGCUGAUAUGUAGGUGAAGCGACUUGCUCGUGGAGCUGAAAUCAGUCGAAGAUACCAGCUGGCUGCAACUGUUUAUUAAAAACACAGCACUGUGCAAACACGAAAGUGGACGUAUACGGUGUGACGCCUGCCCGGUGCCGGAA